CCCAUAAAUAUACGUGCCCCCAUCGCCCAGAGGCAGCAGCAACACCAAGAGUAGCCGGCUGUGGCCUUUGGCUCCCCACACCACACGUUGCCUCUCUCCCUCCGCUCUCCAUCAGCAUUGUAGGUACUCCCUAAGGCUUGGGUGGUAUUGCAUUGUCGUGGACACUUGAUCAUCUUUGGUCUCCCAUCGGCAGUCUAUAUCUCGAAGAAAAAUAGCUGAUGAGGACAUCACUAUUAUAGUCAUACCCAUAGCCCUUGCUACUUCGCAUAUGGGACCGAUUACUAGAGCUCGUGCGCGCCAACGAAAUUAUCAGGUACUUCCAUUUCUUGAUAAUAAUUCUAUUGUUCAUUAGAAUAUGAUGUUGCCUACCUUGGAUACGUUUGUGUUGUUUAGGAAUGAAGGCUCUAACAUGGAUAAGAGGGAUGAACAUCGGAGCAUGAUCAAGCAUGGAGAUGAAGGGGCACGCUAAGGGAACAAGAACGGAGUUUCCAGUGGAGAAUUCAGCAGUUUGAAGCCACCAUGAUGACAUAUGAGGACAUGGACGAACUAUAGAAGAUGACCUUUUAUAAAUUUUGUCCAUAGCUUGUUAUAUGUGCUGUGCCACCUCAUUUUUGCGCCAAGCCCUUGUAAUUUGAAAAAUACUACUUCAUAGGCUGUUUUUAGAGUCUGUACUGUAGGGAGAACGACUUAGGAGGGAUUUUAGCCCCACCUUGCCAAAGGUGGAAAAAAUUCCCUCUUCCCCCUAUAAAUACAGCCCUCAGGGCGUCGUUUACACUUGGGUUUUGUUUAGAUUAAAGUUUGCCAUGGCUUGAA